GAUGAAGAACGCAGCGAAAUGCGAUAAGUAAUGUGAAUUGCAGAAUUCAGUGAAUCAUCGAAUCUUUGAACGCACCUUGCGCUCCUUGGUAUUCCGAGGAGCAUGCCUGUUUGAGUGUCAUGAAAUUCUCAACCUUUUCAGCUUUCUUUGUUGAUCAGGCUUGGAUGUGGGAGUAUGCGGGCUUCUCAGAAGUCGGCUCUCCUGAAAUGCAUUAGCGGGACCUUUGUUGCCUGGCUUUGGUGUGAUAAUUAUCUACGCCAUUGUAGUCAAGCAGCUUAAAAUGAGGUUUCAGCUUCUAACCUUCUCCCCUGAGACAACUUUUUGACAAUUUGACCUCAAAUCAGGUAGGACUACCCGCUGAACUUAAGCAUAUCAAUAAGCGGAGGA
rnacentral:misc_RNA from 1 species